rnacentral:lncRNA from 1 species
GCCAUGGCUGGGUGGGGUGAGGGACAAGGACACUGAAGGGCAGGCACAGCAGGCGAGGAUGGGGGUGGCCUGCACUGUAGGCAGAGGUGAGACUUCCAGGGACCCCAGGAUAAUGGGGUGCUCCACUCCACAGGCCGGGGACUUCCAAGCCAGUGCCCUGUCUUAACAUUCUGAUGAUCCGAUCACACAGACUUCCUCUCCUAAUAAAUCAGCAGCUCAAGGUUACCCAGGAUGACGUCACUCUUGGCCUUGAAGUCCCAUCUGUUUCCUGAGUGCAGAGGAGGAUUUACAGCCUGCGUGCACUGUGACCCACAUUCCCAGGAUCAACGGCUGGGCGUUCCCGAGUACCCCCGGCACAUCACUCCCGGAGUCUCAGCUUCUGUCUUCCUCUUGGAGUCCAGGUGAUAACAGUGACCCCCUAAGACAACUGUGAGGCUGGGAGACUGAACUGCGUGUCCUAAGCACAGAGAAGGACAGCACCUGUCAGGGCCAGAGAUGCCAUGGCACUGGGGCAGCAAAGGCUUAGCUCCUGAGGGUGACGCGUGUGGUCAAGACAUCCUGGACAGGGCGCGAGACUCGCAUGUGGUCACAGCUGGCAGUGGUGUGAGGCUGCCUCGCCCGAUGCCCUUGGAUGGCGGCAGUGCUCAGCUCCACGUCAGGGAGACACCAGUCGUCCUGAGCCUCCUACUUCACUAAGGGGAACAGCGGCACGCCCAUGUCCUUCAGGGCUGGUCAUGCCACCCAUGGACAGGAGAGACUGGCCCAUGGGUGAGUGAGGCUCACCCUGGAAGACUGCACGUUUCCUAAGAAGGUCCACGUCCACUUCCUCUACUCCCCAAGCUCUUGGAGCCUAUGGACGGGUAAUGUAUUUAUCAACUACCCACCAGGUGCCCAGCACAAUGUCCGGGGCUUCUGCAGCCCAUCCUGACUCCACUUUGGAAAACAGUUUCUGUAAGUUUUAGUGUAUACUGGACAAAAGUCAAAGC